rnacentral:rRNA from 1 species
UAGGGAAUCUUCGGCAAUGGACGGAAGUCUGACCGAGCAACGCCGCGUGAGUGAAGAAGGUUUUCGGAUCGUAAAGCUCUGUUGUAAGAGAAGAACGAGUGUGAGAGUGGAAAGUUCACACUGUGACGGUAUCUUACCAGAAAGGGACGGCUAACUACGUGCCAGCAGCCGCGGUAAUACGUAGGUGGCAAGCGUUGCCCGGAAUUAUUGGGCGUAAAGCGCGCGCAGGCGGAUUGGUCAGUCUGUCUUAAAAGUUCGGGGCUUAACCCCGUGAUGGGAUGGAAACUGCCAAUCUAGAGUAUCGGAGAGGAAAGUGGAAUUCCUAGUGUAGCGGUGAAAUGCGUAGAUAUUAGGAAGAACACCAGUGGCGAAGGCGACCUUCUGGACGAAAACUGACGCUGAGGCGCGAAAGCCAGGGGAGCGAACGGGAUUAGAUACCCCGGUAGUCCUGGCCGUAAACGACGGGUACUAGGUGUAGGAGGUAUCGACCCCUUCUGUGCCGGAGUUAACGCAAUAAGUACCCCGCCUGGGGAGUACGACCACAAGGUUG